CAGGAAUCGUCGACUUCAUCGAAACUGCUUCGCAUCAUCACUGAGAAAAGUCAACUGAGAGAAGAGGCCCUCGUCGAGAAAGCUGUUUCCAUGCCACCUG
rnacentral:lncRNA from 1 species